rnacentral:rRNA from 1 species
UACGUAUGGGGCGAGCGUUAUCCGGAUUCAUUGGGCGUAAAGCGCGCGUAGGCGGGCCGUCAAGCGGGGUGUCAAAUCCGGGGGCUCAACCCGCGGCACCACCCCGAACUGGCGGCCUUGAGUGUGGUAGGGGAGCGUGGAAUUCCCAGUGUAGCGGUGGAAUGCGCAGAUAUUGGGAGGAACACCGGUGGCGAAGGCGGCGCUCUGGGCCACCACUGACGCUGAGGCGCGAGAGCUGGGGGAGC